UACGGGAGGNAANNGGGGGGAAUAUUGCACAAUGGAGGAAACUCUAAUGCAGCGNCGCCGCGUGAGUGAAGAAGUAUUUCGGUAUGUAAAGCUCUAUCAGCAGGAAAGAAAANAACGGUACCUGACUAAGAAGCCCCGGCUAACUACGUGCCAGCAGCCGCGGUAAU
rnacentral:rRNA from 1 species